rnacentral:rRNA from 1 species
UACGAAGGGGACUAGCGUUGUUCGGAAUCACUGGGCGUAAAGCGCACGUAGGCGGAUUCGUAAGUCAGGGGUGAAAUCCCGGGGCUCAACCUCGGAACUGCCUUUGAUACUGGGAAGCUCGAGUCCGGGAGAGGUGAGUGGAACUCCGAGUGUAGAGGUGAAAUUCGUAGAUAUUCGGAAGAACACCAGUGGCGAAGGCGGCUCACUGGCCCGGUACUGACGCUGAGGUGCGAAAGCGUGGGGAGCAAACAGG